rnacentral:siRNA from 1 species
UUCAUUGUUUGUCGUUUAUGCA